rnacentral:rRNA from 1 species
UCCAUUAUGUACAGCAUUGCGUGAGCUUCGCUCCUUAUGUUUAACCAUUCCUGAACCUGAGAAGGUGCACGGAGGGUGAACGGACUACUUUGAGAAAAUUAGCGUGCUCAAUGCAGGCGACUGCUUGUAUACUUAUGCAUGGAAUAAUGAGAAAGGACCUCGGUUCUGUUUCGUUGGUUUCCGGAAGCUGAGGUAAUGAUUGAUAGGGACAAACGGGGGCAUUCGUAUUGUGGUGUUAGAGGUGAAAUUCUGUGAUCACCGCAAGACGAACUACUGCGAAAGCAUUUGCCAAGAAUGUUUUCAUUAAUCAAGAACGAAAGUUAGAGUUUCGAAGACGAUUAGAUACCGUCCUAGUUCUAACUAUAAACUAUGCCAACUGGGCAUCUGGCGAUUGCAUCUAUGCAUCGGCAGGCACCCUGCGGGAAACCAAAGUUAUUGGGUUCCGGGGGGAGUAUGGUUGCAAAAUCGAAACUUAAAGGAAUUGACGGAGGGGCACACCAGAAGUGGAGCCUGCGGCUCAAUUUGACUCAACGCACGAAAACUUACUCGGUCCGAACACCGUGAGGAUUGACAGGUUGAAAGCUCUUUCUUGAUUCGGUGGGUGGUGGUGCAUGGCCGUUCGUAGUUGGUGGAGUGAUUUGUCUGGUUUAUUCCGAUAACGAACGAGACUCUAGCCUAUUAAUUAGUGGGGCGAGCGAACCGCUUUGCGGCGAUGCCGUUCAUUUACUUCUUAGAGGGACAAGUGUCGUGAGACACUCGAAGUUGAGCAAUAACAGGUCUGUGAUGCCCUUAGAUGUUCGGGGCUGCACGCGCGCUACAAUGGAGGCUUCAAAAAGCGUUCCUGAUCCGAAAGGAGCAGGGAAUCAUAAAUAGCCUUCACGAUUGGGAUCGGAGAUUGUAAUUAUUCUUCGUGAAAGAGGAAUUCCUAG